rnacentral:lncRNA from 1 species
GCAUCCCCCAGCCCGGGGAACCUCGGGGCCGCCCUCUUCGUCCUCUCCGGCCCAGACAGACCCGUCACCUGCCCACUUGAAAACGGCACUACUGUGUUCCUUUUCGGGCCAGUUUUUCUGUCAGCGAGUAACUUUUUUUUGUGGCAGCGGCAAAUUAGCUACUCUAUAGUGCGUGUUGGAGGCUCUACGAGCCCGUGUUAAUACACAAAGAAGGGGACACACCCCCACCCUCAGGUAGCUACAGCAAGCUGGGUAGCAGGCAGAUCCAAAGGAUAUCAUGAAGUUUCCAGGGCCUUUGGAAAACCAGAGAUUGUCUUUCCUGUUGGAAAAGGCAAUCACUAGGGAAGCACAGAUGUGGAAAGUGAAUGUGCGGAAAAUGCCUUCAAAUCAGAAUGUUUCUCCAUCCCAGAGAGAUGAAGUAAUUCAAUGGCUGGCCAAACUCAAGUACCAAUUCAACCUUUACCCAGAAACAUUUGCUCUGGCUAGCAGUCUUUUGGAUAGGUUUUUAGCUACCGUA